CCUACGGGUGGCUGCAGUAAGGAAUAUUGGUCAAUGGAGGAAACUCUGAACCAGCCAUCCCGCGUGAAGGAUGAAGGGGCUCUGCCUUGUAAACUUCUUUUGUCUGGGGCGAAAAAGCUCGAUUUAUCGAGAACUGACGGUACCAGAAGAAUAAGCACCGGCUAACUCCGUGCCAGCAGCCUCGGUAAUACGGAGGGUGCAAGCGUUAUCCGGGUUCACGGGGUUGAAGGUGGGCUUAGGCGUCUUAGUAGAAAGGCUGGGGCUUAAGCAUGGAAUUGCCAUUGAUACUGCAGAGCUUGAAUGAGGUUGAGGUUGGCGGAAUGUGACAUGUAGCGGUGAAAUGCUUAGAUAUGUCAUGGAACACCGAUUGCGAAGGCAGCUGACUGGACCUAUAUUGACGCUGAGGCACGAAAGCGUGGGGAGCGAACAGGAUUAGAUACCCGUGUAGUC
rnacentral:rRNA from 1 species